AGAUCGCGAGAAGAGGAUCAGCCUCCCGCAGAUCCCGGCCCCGAAUCUCGGGGAGAGGCAUUCCACGCUUUCCCACAGCGUCAGCGGCGAUUCCGAAAUUUACGCGGAAAUCCUGGAUGAAUCCUCAAGGCCGAGAUCCGGAA